rfam:Colletotrichum higginsianum, IMI 349063, WGS project CACQ02000000 data, contig: cont1.435
GUCGACAAUACUUCAGAGAAUCAUUUCUAUAGUAUUCGACCCUUUCUUGGUUCCCUAAAGGAGCCACAGAUCCCACCCUGGUUGAUGAUUGAUAUCCUCGACACCCUAGAGUGAAGAACUCUUGGUUGCUCUCGAACCCUCCGCAAGGGGGGCGGCCCAGUUUCGACUGGUGCUGUAUAGAGAGCAUUUGAUGAUCUCGUCCCCGUUCGCGGUCUUGCCUUCGUGGCGCGCGGAUGGGGUGGGUGUCGAUGGACGUCUGACAGGC